UUAUGACCAUAUCGCGCAGAAACACCGGUUCUCGUUCGAUCACCGAAGUUAAGCAACGUUAUGCUUGGUCACUACCUAGAUGAAUCACCGCUUGGGAAUAUCAGGUACUGUAAG